rnacentral:rRNA from 1 species
UACGGAAGGCAGCAGUGGGGAAUAUUGCACAAUGGGCGAAAGCCUGAUGCAGCUAUGCCGCGUGUAUGAAGAAGGCCUUAGGGUUGUAAAGUACUUUCAUCGGGGAGGAAAAAACAAAACUAAUAAUUUUAUUUCUUGACGUUACCCGAAAAAGAAGCACCGGCUAACUCCGUGCCAGCAGCCGCGGUAAUACGGAGGGUGCUAGCGUUAAUCAGAAUUACUGGGCGUAAAGAGCACGUAGGUGGUUUUUUUAAGUCAGAUGUGAAAUCCCUGGGCUUAACCUGGAACUGCAUUUUGAAACUGAAAUACUAGAGUAUCGUAGAGGGAGGUAGAAUUCUAGGUGUAGCGGUGAAAUGCGUAGAUAUCUGGAGGAAUACCUGUGGCGAAAGCGGCCUCCUAAACGAAUACUGACACUGAGGUGCGAAAGCGUGGGGAGCAAACAGGGAUUAGAUA